CGUAUCUCUCCAAACAGACUGCAGUUCUUUGAAUAUGAGUCGGUCACUUUGUACUGUGAUGGAGUCUUUUACUGUGAUGUUGAACAUAAAACGACUGGGGGGAAGCCCUCGUGUUGCACCACUGAUGACACAACAUCAAGAGGACCUACCUGCACCAUUAAAAAUGUUUAUCGAGAUGACCCUAGAAAGUACUGGUGUGAGGAAGGAGGAGAGAGAAGUAACAUCAUCAACAUCAAUGUUGCUUCUGGUUCUGUGAUCCUGGAGAGUCCUGCUCUUCCUGUGAUGGAGGGAGAAGUUGUGACUCUGAGCUGCAGAACCAAAAUAUCUUCCUCCAACAUCCAAGCUGAUUUCUAUAAAGAUGGAGUCCACAAGUGGAGAAGCCCAACAGGAAAUAUGAGCCUCAAAACAGUCUCCAUGUCUGAGCAAGGAUUCUACAAAUGUCAAAUCUCUGGAGUUGGAGAAUCACCUCAGAGCUGGCUGACUGUUGGGGAGUUUUCUACCAUCAAUAGAAAAGAUCAAGAAAACUCUAAUCCUGCCUCGUUUUCCUUCGCAAGUAUACCAUGGAUCAUCAUCGCCGUCUUUUUGAUACUUGUCUUGCUGGUUGUGGGACUGUGUUGCUCUUGCAGAUUUGCCUGUAGCAGAGGUGAAGAACACAACAUGAACUUUACUUAAUGGUCUUGCUUUGCUGCAUCGUGGUACAUCCACUGAAGUCACAGUGGAGGUCCUAAGGGUUCGGUGCUAGGGCCGAAGCUUUUCACAUUAUAAAUGCUUCUGUUGUGUUUUAGGAA